rnacentral:rRNA from 1 species
UAAGGGAAAUCUUCGGCAAUGGGGGGAACCCUGACCGAGCAACGCCGCGUGAGUGAAGAAGGUUUUCGGAUCGUAAAGCUCUGUUGUUAAGGAAGAACGAGUGUGAGAAUGGAAAGUUCAUACUGUGACGGUACUUAACCAGAAAGGGACGGCUAACUACGUGCCAGCAGCCGCGGUAAUACGUAGGUCCCGAGCGUUGUCCGGAUUUAUUGGGCGUAAAGCGAGCGCAGGCGGUUAGAUAAGUCUGAAGUUAAAGGCAGUGGCUCAACCAUUGUAGGCUUUGGAAACUGUUUAACUUGAGUGCAGAAGGGGAGAGUGGAAUUCCAUGUGUAGCGGUGAAAUGCGUAGAUAUAUGGAGGAACACCGGUGGCGAAAGCGGCUCUCUGGUCUGUAACUGACGCUGAGGCUCGAAAGCGUGGGGAGCGAACAGGAUUAGAUACCCUGGUAGUCCACGCCGUAAACGAUGAGUGCUAGGUGUUAGGUCCUUUCCGGGACUUAGUGCCGCAGCUAACGCAUUAAGCACUCCGCCUGGGGAGUACGACCGCAAGGUUG